CUUCUAAAUAAACUCUUCAGAAUGUCUGACACUUCUUUGCAUUCCAACAACCCAUAAGAAAGGAUUAAACAUCCCUUUGAUUAAAGUAACUUUGUCAGUGGAUUUCACUUAAAAAAUAAAUACACUUGCACAGAAUCAACCACAGGUAAAUCAGCAAAUGAUCUAUAGGAAGUUGUCUACCUGCAACCCAGAUAUUUAACUCUGGACUCCUCCUUCCACUGUACCCUAACCAAGGCAAUUAUCUUUUGCUUCCAUUACUACUGGAUCUAUGUCUCAAUUAACUCUCUCUUACAGGGCAGCAAGCAGCAGUUCAAGGUAUGAUUCUAACCAGCAGGGAGAUCUGGAUUUUUAAUUCUGAGAACUCAAAGGAGUGAAUAUCUAUAUGACAAAAUUUCGAAUUAUAAUACUAUAUUCAAGCAAAAUUUUAUCCUAUCAGACAGAGAUUAUACAAUUCCAUUUGACACUGUCUAUACAGAAGAAAGGACACUGAAUUGGAGAAAAGAGAAUAUAAGGAAGAGAGAGGAAUCUGAGCGAAUCCAUAAGAAGCAAACUGUCCAUUAGCUGAAAAUUGGAACAAGAAAAAAGCUGACAAAAAUAGCAAGGAAAUGUUAAGAUAAGUGAAUAUAAUGAGGAGAGAGAGGGGGAAAAAAGACCUAGUGUGUUAAAGGGAUCUUACUAAUUUUAUCAUACUUUUCACAAGAGAAAGCUUUUAUUGUUAACAGUUCUUCAUAUAAAGAUGCUGGCAUGUUUUUGUUGCUUGGAUGGGGCACUUAGCCAAAGCUAACCAAGAUUUUUAGUAAUUUGAAAUUUUGUUAAUUAUUAGGCUGUCAAAUCUCAAAAUAGUAUACUAUAGUCUUCAUUGGAUUCUUUUCUGCCUCAGCAGUGGGCCAUUUAAUACUGAGAUGAAAGAAUAAACCUUCCAAAGCAAGAGUAUUUGAAACUUAUUUUAAGUUAAGAAAGUAACAUAUGAGGAGAUAGUUGAGAUGAACGAUACACUUUAGAAGCCAUUAUAUUUAUUAAUUGUGAAAAUAAUCAUUUCAGAAUAUUUUAACCCUUUAAUUAAAAGUAUACUAAAAUUCACAAGAAGGAAUAUAGUGUAAUAGUUAAGAACACAGACCUAUUGUCCGAAAAACCUUGAGUUGAUUAUGAGCUCUACAUUUACUAAUGAAGUGAUUUCCAAUUAAUCCCUUUACUACUUUAUCCCUCGGUUUCUAAUUUUUGCUAUAAGGCUCUUGUAUUGCCUAAGUUAGCUUGCUCUCAAAAAUGCCUGGCACAUUGUAGUCACCCAAAAAGUUGAUAUUAAGAUGGGUGGGAUUAGUCCUGAAAGAGACCAUUGGAAAAGGGAAUAGAACAUGGUGAGCAAAGCUUUCAAAGGACCAAAAAAAAAAAAAAAAAAAAAAAAUCUGAUCUAAGCCAGGUGUGAUCUAAAUCUGAUAAUUUUUAAAUUAUUUAAAAAUAUAGGAAAAGACAUAUCGUUUGAUUGUUGAUUAUGGUUAAUAAUUAACUUACUUUUUCAUCGGUAGUUGGAGGUGGGGGGAAUACUGAGAACGUAGCGAGAGUAAUAAUUAAUUUUAUUAGACUAAAUUAUUUGGAAAGAAAUUCUGGAUAACUGAUACUACAGACACCAUAAACACCAGGUACA
rnacentral:lncRNA from 1 species